ensembl:lncRNA
GAUUUAUAUAAAUUCAAGCUUAAGAGCUAGAAAGCUGAACAUAAAUAGCCCUCAAGCCAGAAAGAAGCUGAAUAUUUUAAAAUUUGAAUGGUUUAAAUAGCUGAAAAUGGGAAGCAGUUGAAAGGGGGCGCGGAAGAAAUAUAAUAACUAGAAAAGGCAUUUCCUGCUGAAAAUGCGUUGGAAUGCAAAAAGCUGAAAGCUGCACUGAAUAUUUGAAAAUAGCUGAAAAUACAGAAAGUUGAAGGGAAUUUGAAUACAUUUGCUGAAAUGACAGAUAUUUGAAAAGCUGAAAUGAAUUUGAAAUUGCUGAAAAUACAGAAAUGGGAGAAGCUGAAAGGAAUUUCAAUAGAUUUGCUGAAAAAGCAGGAAUGAAAACAGCUGAAAUAAAUUUGAAAUAUUGCAAAAAAAUACAGAAAUGAAUAUUAAAAAAUUGCUGUUGAUAGAGGCAUAAGAAUAGCUGAAAUUAUUUUAAAGAACUGCUGAAAAUACAGGAAGUGGGGGAGCUGAAUUUCAAUAGAUUUUCUAAAAACAGAAGUUGCAGGAAGCUUAAAUUUGUUUAAAAUUGUUUGUAGUAAUAUUAGUACUAGUAUUAGUUAUAAUUGUGGUAUUAGUAGUACUAGCAGUAUAAGCAGUAAUAGUAGGUUUAGUAUCAAUAGCAGUAGAAACAGCUGUAAUACUAUUAGCCAUAGUAGUAUUUGUAAUAACAUUAGUAGUAGUUGUAGUAUUAAUAGCAGUAGAAAUACUAGUAGUAUGGUAGUAGAAGUAUCAGUUGUAGUACUAGAAGUACGAGUAAUAUUCGUAGUGGGAGACAGAAUGUUUGUUAUUCACACUUAAAAGUUUUUAAUUAAUAGGCCUCAUCACAGACAUUACAGUAAAAAUUCCCUCCAUGGGGCUUUUAUUUUGAAAUGAUUGGAUUGGGUGGGGUGGGGGGGUGUAGAUAGAGGGAGGGAGGCUGAGAGGGUGAGGAAGGGAAUGGUGGUGAGGAAGAGAUAGAGGGAGAGAGAGAGAGAGGAGAGAUAGACAGACAUACUGACUGAGAGUGAUUAACAGUGAGAAGGGGUCAGGGUGGAGGGGGGAGGGGGGGCGAGUGUCUUUAUCAUAUUGGUCUGUUGACAGAAAGCAUAGCUGCGUCAUGUGACUCCACUAAUCAG